GACGAACGCUGGCGGCGUGCCUAAUACAUGCAAGUAGGACGCAGUUGCGAACGGGUGAGUAACGCGUAGGUAACUGCCUAUUAGAGGGGGAUAACUAUUGGAAACGAUAGCUAAUACCGCAUACUAGUAGAUGGACCUGCGUUGUAUUAACUAGUAGGUAGGGUAAUGGGCUACCUAGGCAACGAUACAUAGCCGACCUGGGAGGGUGAUCGGACACACUGGGACUGAGACAAGGCCCAGACUCCUACGGGGGGCAGCAGGAGUGAAUCUUCGGCGAUUGGGGGAACGCUGACCGAGCAACGCCGGGUUAGUGAAGAAGGUUUUCGGAUCGUAAAGCUCUGUUGUUAAGGAAGCGGUACUUAACCAGAAAGGGACGGCUAACUACGUGCCAGCAGCCGCGGUAAUUC
rnacentral:rRNA from 1 species